CCUACUUUUUAUGUUUUAUUAAUUCCCUAUAAUAUAGUUGCGAGUUGAAUCCGAAUGAGACAGAAUUUUUUUGUAUCGAGCACGAUGAAUCAACAGAUUGGCGAGAGCAUCCUGUGCGACAAGACGCGGGCAUCUUCUACUUGUGAUCGGAGUAGCUUAUAUAAAUGGAUCAUCGUGUAAAAUUGUCGGCGGAAGACGCUUGUUAUCCCCUCGACCGAACCAGCCAAUCGUUAUUAUUUUAAGUCACGAUCAUUGCUAUGGUUUAAUAUCUCUAACUACAGUCGCAUCUAAUGGCAAAAGAAGAAGGAGAGGAGAUCCUUGAAGCAAUAAGAAAGAAAGAAAUUACAUAUAUUAUUUCUUCAAUUUGCCAUGAGAGGCAAUAACAUCCUUUCUUGUAUAUACAACAUUUCCACCUUCGCCUCCGGAAAUCUGCCACCCAUCCGAUUCUGUCGCGGCGAAAAAAUUUGGCGAGAAUUGUUCCACGACUUAUAUUAUUUAUUGAAUUUCUUUAAUAAUAGGCAGUUCAAAUAUUGUACAAUA